AUGGAUUCCAUCUUAGCUAACGGUACCUGGGAGAUCACUGACCGUCCUUAUGGGUGCAAACAUGUAGGAUGUAAGUGGGUGUUCAAGAAGAAGCUUAGACCUGAUGGUACAAUUGAAAAGUACAAGGCACGGCUUGUGGCCAAGGGUUAUACCCAGAAAGAAGGUGAAGACUUCUUUGAUACUUACUCACCCGUGGCUAGACUGACCACAAUUUGGGUGCUACUAUCACUGGCUGCCUCACAUGGUCUUCUCGUUCAUCAAAUGGACGUUAAGACGGCUUUCCUCAAUGGAGAGUUGAAGGAGGAAAUUUACAUGGAUCAGCCAGAUGGUUUUGUAGUACCUGGUCAGGAAGGAAAGGUGUGCAAGUUAUUAAAGUCUUUAUAUGGCCUUAAACAAGCUCCUAAGGAGUGGCAUGAGAAGUUCGAAAGAACAUUAACUGCUGCCGGCUUUGUAGUAAACGAUGGUGACAAGUGCAUGUACUAUCGCUAUGGUGGGGGCGAAGGAGUUAUUCUUUGUCUGUAUGUCGACGACAUAUUGAUCUUUGGAACCAAACUUGAUUUAAUCAAGGAGGUUAAGGAUUUCUUAUCUCGCUGUUUUGAGAUGAAGGAUCUAGGAGUAGCUGAUGUUAUCUUAAACAUCAAGCUGUUGAGAGAUGAGAAUGGUUGGAUCACACUGCUUCAGUCUCAUUUUGUGGAAAAGGUCUUGAGUCGUUUUGGGUAUAGCGACUGCACGCCUUCUCCAACUCCAUAUGAUGCUAGUGUGUUGCUUCGAAAGAAUCAAAGGAUUGCUAGAGAUCAACUGAGGUAUUCUCAGAUUUUUGGCUCGCUUAUGUAUUUGGCGAGUGCCACGAGGCCUGACAUCUCUUUUGCUGUGAGCAAGCUGAGUCGGUUUGUGUCAAAACCGGGAGAUGAUCAUUGGCAUGCGCUUGAGAGAGUUAUGCGCUAUUUGAAAGGCACUGCGAGCUAUGGGAUUCACUACACCGGGUAUCGAAGGGUACUGGAGGGUUAUAGUGACUCAAACUGGAUAUCUGAUGCUGAUGAGAUUAAGGUCACAAGUGGUUAUGUUUUUACAGUUGGUGGUGGCGCUGUUUCCUGGAAGUCUUGCAAGCAGACCAUCUUAACGAGGUCAACUAUGGAAGCAGAACUCACAGCAUUAGACACUGCCACUGUUGAAGCAGAGUGGCUUCGUGAACUCUUGACGGACUUACCUAUGGUUGAAAAACCAAUACCCCCUAUCCUGAUGAACUGUGAUAAUCAAAUUAACAUGUUCCGAGGAAAACACCUAUAUGAAUUUGACUGUUAA
rnacentral:rRNA from 1 species